rnacentral:rRNA from 1 species
UACGAAGGGUGCAAGCGUUAAUCGGAAUUACUGGGCGUAAAGCGCGCGUAGGUGGUUCAGUAAGUUGGAUGUGAAAUCCCCGGGCUCAACCUGGGAACUGCAUCCAAAACUGCUGAGCUAGAGUACGGUAGAGGGUGGUGGAAUUUCCUGUGUAGCGGUGAAAUGCGUAGAUAUAGGAAGGAACACCAGUGGCGAAGGCGACCACCUGGACUGAUACUGACACUGAGGUGCGAAAGCGUGGGGAGCAAACAUG